GAAAAUAGCUCUAUGGAUGAAAACUGGAAAGAGGAAUUCAGUGAUUCUGCCGAUAAUACUUCAGAUAAUUAGUGAAUACUGGAAUUAAGAGUGCCGUACAUCAAGAUCUUACCUAUCCCCCGUACUGAAAGUUCCUGAAAGCUCAUUGGUGUAAAUGGGACUCACAUCAAAAAACAGAAACCAUCACGCUGACAACCCAACAAAAGAAUAGCUUAAAAUUUUUCAAGC